GUGUCAGCAGCCGCGCGGUAAUACGGAGGGUGCAAGCGUUACUCGGAAUCACUGGGCGUAAAGCGCGCGCAGGCGGCUAGAUAAGUUGGAAGUGAAAUCCUAUGGCUCAACCAUAGAACUGCUUCCAAAACUGUUUAGCUAGAGUCUGGGAGGGGAAGAUGGAAUUAGUAGUGUAGGGGUAAAAUCCGUAGAGAUUACUAGGAAUACCAAAAGCGAAGGCGAUCUUCUGGAACAGUACUGACGCUGAGGCGCGAAAGCGUGGGGAGCAAACAGGAUUAGAUACCCUGGUAGUCCACGCCCUAAACGAUGAAUGUUAGUCGUCGGGACUCUAGUAGUUUCGGUGAUGCAGUUAACACAUUAAACAUUCCGCCUGGGGAGUACGGUCGCAAGAUUAAAACUCAAAGGAAUAGACGGGGACCCGCACAAGUGGUGGAGCAUGUGGUUUAAUUCGAAGAUACGCGAAGAACCUUACCUAGCCUUGACAUAUUUUAGAACUCCGCAGAGAUGUAGAGGUGCCUUCGGGAGCUAAUAUACAGGUGCUGCACGGCUGUCGUCAGCUCGUGUCGUGAGAUGUUGGGUUAAGUCCCGCAACGAGCGCAACCCUCGUUCUUAGUUACUAACGGUUCGGCCGAGGACUCUAAGAAGACUGCCUUCGUAAGGAGGAGGAAGGUGAGGACGACGUCAAGUCAUCAUGGCCCUUACGGCUAGGGCAACACACGUGCUACAAUGGUUAGGACAAUGAGACGCAAUACCGCGAGGUGGAGCAAAUCUAUAAACCUAAUCUCAGUUCGGAUUGUAGUCUGCAACUCGACUACAUGAAGCUGGAAUCACUAGUAAUCGUAGAUCAGCUAUGCUACGGUGAAUACGUUCCCGGGUCUUGCACACACCGCCCGUCAAAGGGCGAAUUCGU
rnacentral:rRNA from 1 species